AUUUAUUUUAAUUGACUAUAUAUAUAUCAAAAUCUGCGACCUAGGGGUUGGAUCCAGCAAGAAGAGAUCUAAUAUCAAUAAGAAAAUUGUUCCCGGGGUUUACUCAGGUUGCGUUAAGUCUAUGGCAGAAGCUAAAGCAUUUAAAGUGUUGAACUGUUCCCGGCCUAUGCUAGAUAUAUGGAACGGAAGACAUGUGCUUGCUGAAUUGUACACAAGGAAACUUCAUGAUAUAGAGUUUCGGAAACUUGAACGCCGUGGACUAGGAGGAGAGGGAGAUGUUGAAGGAGAGAGACACCAAGUAAAACUUCAACGCCUGAGUUAUAAAACAAGAAACAAGGA